rnacentral:rRNA from 1 species
CCUACGGGAGGCAGCAGUGGGGAAUAUUGGACAAUGGGGGAAACCCUGAUCCAGCAACGCCGCGUGAGUGAAGAAGUAUUUCGGUAUGUAAAGCUCUAUCAGCAGGGAAGAGAAAGACGGCACGAGAUGAAGAAGACGCGGCGAAUUACGAGACAGCAGCCGCGGUUAUAAGCAGGGGGCAAGCGUCAUCCGGAUUUAUUGGGUGUAAAGGGAGCGUAGUCGGCUGUGCAAGUCUGAAGUGAAAGGCCGUGGCUCAACCACGGAACUGCUGUGGAAACUAGAAAGCUGGAGUGCUGGAGAGGCAGGCGGAAUUCCUAGUGUAGCGGUGAAAUGCGUAGAUAUUAGGAGGAACACCAGUGGCGAAGGCAGCUUACUGGACAGUAACUGACGUUGAGGCUCGAAAGCGUGGGGAGCAAACAGGAUUAGAUACCCUGGUAGUC